CGGGGCGUAGCGCAGCCUGGUAGCGCACUUGCAUGGGGCGCAAGAGGCCGGAGGUUCAAAUCCUCUCGCCCCGACCA
rnacentral:tRNA from 1 species